GGGAAGAUGGCCGAGCGGUCUAAGGCGCUACGUUCAGGCUGAGAUCCAGCAAUGGGUACCAUCCCGAAUUCGUAGUCUAGUAAUAGGCGUGGGUUCGAAUCCCACUCUUCUCA
rnacentral:tRNA from 1 species